CUGAGCUGAAGUUGGACAGUUAACCAACUGAGCCAGCCGGGUACCCCAAAGUCAUUUUUUUUUUUAAGUCCACUGACAUCACCUCAAAGGAAGUUGUGUGUUUCUUACAAAGAAAACUGCAGCAAAAAAUUUUAAAUUGUUUACUCUUUUUAUUUAGGUUUAGAUUUGGGAUAAGAGGGAGAAAACCUUAACAGAACAAAGGAGUUGUUGAUGUUAUGCCCAGUUAUCCAGAUAGGGUCAUGAUAGGCCUCAUGGUGGCCUGAGAGCAAAACAGACUACUUUGAGAAAUAAUUUGCCAGCAGUCUUCUUCAUUUCCGAAGCAUAUCUCCUCAAAGAGUUUUCUUGAAGAUGAUACAUAACUUGGGCAGGAAACGAUCUAUCCGAGGUUAAAAGUCCACUGCAGGUGACUGUGAAGGAGAAAGUGGAAUUCUCAGCUCCAUCUCUGCUUGACUUGAUCAUAUAAGCUUAAUAUAAACAGCCCUGAGAAACAGGAAAAGGGUUAUACUCCAGGGACAGAAGUUAACAAAAGACACCGCUCAUGUGCUGCAGUAAACAGCCUACCAUUUUUCAUAUGGACUGAAAUCAAGGCAAACAAGUUUUACAGAGCUUGACUGAAGUGGGUGCAUGUGAUGGAUGUUGACCAGAACUUGGAUUAGAGAAGACUGGGGAUCAAAGCCCUGGACAAGCUGCAGUGGAUGCCUUGGCUUGAGGAUCACCAGCGCAGAAUUUGACUCCUGUUCGUCUUUGAAUUUGUAGCUGGCAUAAUCCAGUGGGGCAGGAAGCAACUUGGGGAUUCAGAUAUUUGCUUAUUUCUCCUUCUUGGGUGAAUUCCUAAGCGUGGCAUCGCCAGGUUGUAUGGUAGAUCAACUUUACAAUGCAACUAAAAUGAUCCAUUCAACUGAGAAGAACCCCACACCCCUUCACCCCCACCCAGUACCCAGCAAGCUAGUUCCCUGAGCCUCC